CCAGCCAGUUCUGAUGCUGUGGACCUUGUUUUUUCCCCUCAGAUCUUGAUUUCAGUGAUGUUAGUUCUCAUUGGAGCAAGUCAGGGGAGGUUCAAGCCCCAGGUGGUGUUAUGGUGCAGGCAGGAGCAGAGCGACAGGAGUGUUUACAACAGAGAAAAUGAAGAGUGAGGAACAUCCUGUUGAAAAAUGUGCUACACUGAUUCAUCUUAAGGUCAGAAUUGCUGUACUAAGAAUUCAACCUUCAGAAGAGUGACCCUGGAUAGUCACAAGACAACACUGAAGAAAUCAGAAAAUGAUAACAAAAGCUGAGAUAAAAUGUUAUGUCUUUCAGACAAAGCAUAUUUACCUAAUAGAAGGAUACUCAGUUCCCUUCUGGGCAUUCAAAUAACAGUAUUUGAAGAGCUAGUUGGUCUAAACUGUGAGUCAUAAGUCAGAAAACAAUUAUAUCUGACCCAAGCAACUGCCUCCAUGGAAGGUGUUACAGAGCCACUGAAAAAUGCUGGUGUCCUUUGAGUGUAUCAAUACUAUACAUGUGACAGGUUUGGAGAGAUAAGCCAGAAAACAUAGUAUGUAAUCUGUUUCUUUUUAGACAUUCCUUUUUCUGCUGCAUGCUCUAGAGAUGCACAUUAUGACAGACUUGUUUUGAUCAUUUUUGUUACUCCUUAUAUGAGAUCAAACAGAUCAUUCAAAUGAUAACUUCAAGAAUGAAACUAGCAAGCGAAUUGAAAGAUAAUCCUAUGUAAAUGUUUUUGCUUCAUUGGAUGCUGCUUGUAACACUCCAGAUUGUUUUAAAAGGUCAGCACACACCCCUCCACUUUCUCCCUCCUUCACAUAGCAACAGGAUUCUUUCCUGGCAUAUGCUUUAUAUAUUGUAUCUCCUAAUAAAGUUAUUAAAACAUUAUUUGAAAGAAAAACUUAAAAUCUAUUGAAACAACAGAAGAAGGUGCCCACCAUUAUCUUUGAUGACAGAGGAAUUACAGCUGUGUGUUUUGAUUUUCUGCGACCCAGCUGCUAAUCCUGGCUGGGCUGGGGAGGAUAGGAAUUCCUCUUCCCCUGCAGGGCACCUGAGACCACCUCAGACCCACCUCCAAAUUUCUCCCCCAACUGUAGGAAGCUCUGCAAACUCUCUCACACUUCCUGCACCCAUUGCUCCUCUGCUGUAGGGGGAAGGGUCACUGUACCGGGAGCUGCUUCCCCAUCCACCCAAUCCCUGUGUCCAACCUUCAUACCCAGACCCUCCCACCAAACCUCCACCCUCCCCCACACUCAGAACUCCUGAUAAGCCCCACUCUCCCUGCACUUGUACCACUCCGAUGAGUCAUCUGCACCCGGAUCCCAACCUUACCGAGAUCCAACCAACUGCACCUGGAUCCCCACACCACUAAGCCUCACUUUCCCAGCAUCCGAGCCCCACACACCCAGACCCCCCCAGCUGAGCCCCAACUAUGUUCACCUGGAGAGUCCCGUUACCAUUGCACCCAGAACCCCCCCCCUACAAGCCCCUGUGCAUCCAGAUCCCCCACUGAUCCCCCACUGAACUGCCCACACCCUCAUUGCCCCACACAGAACCCUCUCAAUCCACACCUGGAUCCCCCCACACUAAGCCCCUCCACCCUUGGAUCCUCCUUGCUGAGCCUGCCUGCCCACACCUUUUGUGCCUGACAUAGAGGGGCAGGCCUCAUCCUUGCGCUGUGUCAGGGUUGGGUGCAGCCCCUCACCACUGAG